UACGGAGGGUGCAAGCGUUAUCCGGAUUCACUGGGUUUAAAGGGUGCGUAGGAGGGCAGGUAAGUCAGAGGUGAAAUCUCCGAGCUUAACUCGGAAACUGCCUUUGAUACUAUCUGUCUUGAAUAUUGUGGAGGUGAGCGGAAUAUGUCAUGUAGCGGUGAAAUGCUUAGAUAUGACAUAGAACACCAAUUGCGAAGGCAGCUCGCUACACAUAUAUUGACUCUGAGGCACGAAAGCGUGGGGAUCAAACAGGAUUAGAAACCCCCGUAGUCC
rnacentral:rRNA from 1 species